rnacentral:rRNA from 1 species
UACGAGGGGGGCGAGCGUUGUUCGGAAUUAUUGGGCGUAAAGGGUGCGUAGGCGGUUUGGUAAGUCUGAUGUGAAAUCUAUGGGCUCAACUCAUAGUCUGCAUCGGAAACUGCCGGGCUUGAGUGUGGGAGAGGUGAGUGGAAUUCCUGGUGUAGCGGUGAAAUGCGUAGAUAUCAGGAGGAACACCUGUGGCGAAAGCGGCUCACUGGACCAUAACUGACGCUGAUGCACGAAAGCGAGGGGAGCAAACAGG